ACGGGAGGCAGCAGCUAAGAAUAUUCCGCAAUGGACGAAAGUCUGACGGAGCGACGCCGCGUGGAUGAUGAAGGUCGGAAGAUUGUAAAAUCCUUUUAUAACUGAGGAAUAAGCAGUGUGAGAGAAACGCAUUGCGGUGACUGUAGGUUAUGAAUAAGCAACGGCUAAUUACGUGCCAGCAGCCGCGGUAACACGUAAGUUGCGAGCGUUGUUCGGAAUUAUUGGGCGUAAAGGGCAUGUAGGCGGUUUUGCAAGCUUGGUGUGAAAGGCAGGAGCUUAACUCCUGGACUGCGUUGAGAACUGCAAGACUAGAGUUACUGAAGAGCAAUCAGAAUUCCAGGUGUAGGGGUGAAAUCUGUAGAUAUCUGGAAGAAUACCAAUGGCGAAGGCAGGUUGCUGGCAGAUGACUGACGCUGAGGUGCGAAGGUGCGGGGAGCAAACAGGAUUAGAUACCCUGGUA
rnacentral:rRNA from 1 species